GCCUCAGUAACGGCGAGUGAAGCGGCAAAAGCUCAAAUUUGAAAUCUGGCUCUUUCAGGGUCCGAGUUGUAAUUUGUAGAAGAUGCUUCGGGUGUGGUCCCGGUCUAAGUUCCUUGGAACAGGACGUCAUAGAGGGUGAGAAUCCCGUAUGUGACUGGGUACCUACGCUCAUGUGAAGCUCUUUCGACGAGUCGAGUUGUUUGGGAAUGCAGCUCAAAAUGGGUGGUAAAUUUCAUCUAAAGCUAAAUAUUGGCCAGAGACCGAUAGCGCACAAGUAGAGUGAUCGAAAGAUGAAAAGCACUUUGGAAAGAGAGUUAAACAGUACGUGAAAUUGUUGAAAGGGAAGCGCUUGCAAUCAGACUUGCGCCUAGUUGAUCAUCCGGGCUUCUGCCCGGUGCACUCGAUUAGGCUCAGGCCAGCAUCGGUUUAGGUGGUUGGAUAAAGGCUUGGGGAACGUAGCCUCCUUCGGGGGGUGUUAUAGCCCCAGGUGCAAUGCAGCCUACCUGGACCGAGGACCGCGCUUCGGCUAGGAUGCUGGCGUAAUGGUUGUAAGCGACCCGUCUUGAAACACGGACCAAGGAGUCUAACAUUUAUGCGAGUGUUUGGGUGUUAAACCCAUACGCGUAAUGAAAGUGAACGGAGGUAAGAACCCUUAAGGGUGCAUUAUCGACCGAUCCUGAUGUCUUCGGAUGGAUUUGAGUAAGAGCAUAACUGUUGGGACCCGAAAGAUGGUGAUCUAUACGUGAAUAGGGUGAAGCCAGAGGAAACUCUGGUGGAGGCUCGCAGCGGUUCUGACGUGCAAAUCGAUCGUCAAAUUUGCGUAUAGGGGCGAAAGACUAAUCGAACCAUC
rnacentral:rRNA from 1 species